rnacentral:lncRNA from 10 species
CCUUGUAUUCGAGUGUUUGAAGGCAUUGAAAUUAUUAAUUGGAGCACUGCUGUAACUGCUGUAGAGCUGUGAUUUGGCCUUUUUUUUUUUUUUUUUUUUUUUUGACAGGGACUCACUGUGUUGUCCAGGCUGAAGUGCAGUGACACAAUCUCAGUUCACUGCAACCUUCACCUCCCAGGCUCAAGCGAUCCUCCCACUUGAGUCUCCCAAGGAUGGCCCAUUUUUCAGAUGUUGAUGUUGAUGAUGUCCCUGCCAGGAAAACCGGUCCAGAUUGGCCAGCUAUGAGAAUAAUUUCAAGUGGGUUUCAGAAAAAAUGGAAGGAACUACAGAUGGAAGAAAGGAAAGAGGAGAAAGAGAACAAGGUCUCUGUUUAUGGGCACCUCUGUUUGGUGAAGAUUGAGGAGAAACAUCGUGGAUUCUGAUUGUGACUUGAUUGAGGUGAAAUGCGUUCUUUAUAAGGCUGAGCUUGCUCUCAGGGCUUUCAAGGACUC